rnacentral:rRNA from 1 species
AUGCCGCGCCGCUCCUCCUCCCCGCCGUCGAGGGCCAGCGGGGCCGCCUCCGCCCGCCGUCGGCAGCCCCCGCCGUCGGGCCCCGGCUCCGCGAGCUGUAGGCACCCCCCGCCGUCGGCCGCCUCUGCGCGCCAGUCCCCGCCGUCGGGGGCCAGCGGGGCCGCCUCCGCGCGCCGUGGGCACCCCCCGCCGCCACUCCCCGCAGCCCAGAGCGUUCCCGCCCGGCGCCGAGGUACGGGUGCUCGCCGGGGCGCGUACCGCAGCCAGCCCGCCUCCCCCGCGUCCGAGCAGCCGCCUCCGUCCCGGCGGCCGGAGGGCGUGGCCGAGCUCCGCCGCCUCGGCAAGUCCUACUCCGAGGCCGUCGACUCCGCGCAGCUCCUCGCCCCCGCCAGGUACAACCUUGGUCCGCCAUGUCCGCCGCCUCAUAUACAGAUUCUCCCAGAUGACCUCCUUGUGGAGAUUCUCAUGCGCCUUCCGCCUGAGCCUAUCUAUCUUUUCCGUGCUUCUCAUGUCUGCAAGCACUGGCGCAGCCUCAUCCACGACGCCCGCUUCCUUUGCCGCUUCCACGAGUUCCACCGGGGGACUCCUCCCGUGCUCGGCUUCUUCAGCAACCAGCCAUCGUUUCCCUUCUUCGUUUCCAUCACCAACACCUUCGCGGGCUCCGCUGUUGGCAAGAUUGACCACGACUAUUUGUCGGUCUUGGACUGUCGCCACGGUCGUGCCCUCCUGAAAUGUAAGUGCUGCAAUGAGCUGCUCGUCUUGGACCUUGUGACCGGUGACACGAUCUGGCUGCCGUAUCCCACGCAGCUCCCCAAGCAGGCCACAUACAAUGGCGCGGUUCUCUGCGUUGCUGGCCACGACAACUGUCAUUCGUGCCCGGUCCUUGUGGUGCUAGUGUUCAGUAACAAGGUUGAUUUCAUCACCGCAGGCUGCGUGUACUCGUCCGAGACUGGCGUCUGGGGUGAGAUCACUUCGAUUCAUAUGCCUGAUUCAUUUGUCGUCCCAUUGCCGACGGUUCUGGUUGGAAACACACUGUACUGGCUGUUGGACAACGAUCACAUCAUUCAGUUUGAUUUGGAUAAGCAUAGAUUGGAUUUAAUUGAGGAGGUGCCACAUAGCUACUGUAAGCAGGUUAUCAUCAUGCCCGCGGAGGAUGGACUUGUUGGUUUUGCUGGGGUUGAUGGUUCGAGUCUCCAUUUGUGGUCAAGGGUAGGUAGCAUUGAUGGGGGGGUACCAUGGACACGUCGCAUCAUUGACUUCGAAGAGCUUCUUGGGCCGGAAACAUCGCUUUGUCAUCCGUUGCUUGUUGGCUAUGCGGAAGAUGCUGAUGUGAUCUUCAUUUGUGCGGAUACUAGCGUCUACAUGAUCCAUCUCAAGUCCAUGGUGAAGAUUGAGCGGUGGAAUGAACUUGAUAUUGUGUUUCCCAUUUUUCCUUACACAAGAUUCUACUCUCCAGUAAAAGCUCUUGGCGCCUACUGCCUGGCCGCAGAGCCAUCUUCUUUCUCGGCGGUGCCCUCCCUCGCCUACUCGGAGAACGCCGUCCAUGGUGAUGAACGUGAGGACGGCCUGCUCGAGAUUGUCCUGGUCGGUCUAUGCCCCAAAACCAUGGCGGAUCCACAAAAGCCAGACUAUGUUUUCUCAGCACACACCAUUGGUUUCAACCCAAGCCAGGGACUGCAUGGCUGA